CUCCACUCAACACUCACUAAGCAGGGCUACACUCAACACUGUGGAGGUACAGGGCUACACUCAACACUGUGGAGGAACAGGGCUACACUCAACACUGGAGGUACAGGGCUACACUCAACACUGUGGAGGUACAGGGCUACACUCAACACUGUGGAGGAACAGGGCUCCACUCAACACUGGAGGUACAGGGCUACACUCAACACUGUGCGGAGGUACAGGGCUACACUCAACACUGUGGAGGAACAGGGCUACACUCAACACUGGAGGUACAGGGCUACACUCAACACUGGAGGUACAGGGCUACACUCAACACUGGAGGUACAGGGCUACACUCAACACUGGAGGUACAGGGCUACACUCAACACUGUGCGGAGGUACAGGGCUCCACUCAACACUGUGCGGAGGU